rnacentral:rRNA from 1 species
CUGCUGCCUCCCGUAGGAGUCUGGGCCGUGUCUCAGUCCCAGUGUGGCCGUCCACCCUCUCAGGCCGGCUGCUGAUCGUCGCUUUGGUGGGCCGUUACCCCGCCAACUGGCUAAUCAGACGCGGGCCCAUCCUGUACCACCGGAGUUUUCAAAGGAUUACCAUGCGGUAUUCCCUAUUAUGCGGUGUUAGCACCUAUUUCUAAGUGUUAUCCCCCGGUACAGGGCAGGUUGCCCCACGCGUUACUCACCCGUCCGCCACUAAGACAGA